rnacentral:rRNA from 1 species
GAUGAACGCUGGCGGCGUGCCUAAUACAUGCAAGUCGAGCGAACAGACGAGGAGCUUGCUCCUCUAACGUUAGCGGCGGACGGGUGAGUAACACGUGGAUAACCUACCUAUAAGACUGGGAUAACUUCGGGACACCGGAGCUAAUACCGUAUAAUAUAUUGAACCGCAUGGUUCAAUAGUGAAAGACGGUUUUGCUGUCACUUAUAGAUGGAUCCGCGCCGCAUUAGCUAGUUGGUAAGGUAACAGCUUACCAAGGCAACGAUGCGUAGCCGACCUGAGAGGGUGAUAGGCCACACUAGAGCUGAGACACGGUCCAGACGCCUACGGGAGGCAGCAGUAGGGAAUCUUACGCAAUGGGCGAAAGCCUGACGGAGCAACGCCGCGUGAGUGAUGAAGGUCUUCGGAUCGUAAAACUCUGUUAUUAGGGAAGAACAAAUGUGUAAGUAACUAUGCACGUCUUGACGGUACCUAAUCAGAAAGCCACGGCUAACUACGUG